rnacentral:rRNA from 1 species
GGUAAUUCCAGCUCCAAUAGCGUAUAUUAAAGUUGUUGCAGUUAAAAAGCUCGUAGUUGAAUUUCGGGAUUAGUACGUUGGUCGUGCCUUCGGUACGUACUGGUGUUACUGAUUCCUACCUUCUGACGAACCAUCAUGUCAUUAAUUUGGUGUGGUGGGGAAUCAGGACUGUUACUUUGAAAAAAUUAGAGUGUUUAAAGCAGGCUCGCGCUUGAAUACAUUAGCAUGGAAUAAUGAAAUAGGACGUUGACCCUAUUUUGUUGGUUUCUAGGAUUGACGUAAUGAUUAAUAGGGAUAGUUGGGGGCAUUAGUAUUCAAUUGUCAGAGGUGAAAUUCUUGGAUUUAUUGAAGACUAACUACUGCGAAAGCAUUUGCCAAGGAUGUUUUCAUUAAUCAAGAACGAAAGUUAGGGGAUCGAAGACGAUCAGAUACCGUCGUAGUCUUAACCAUAAACUAUGCCCGACUAGGGAUCGGAUGAUGUUAUUUUUAAUGACUCA